GGCUGGUCCGAAGGUAGUGAGUUAUCUCACUUGAUUGUUCACAGUCAGUUACAGAUUGAACUCUUUGUUCUACUACUUUCUCCCCUCCUCACUACUGCACUUGACUAGUCAUAA
rnacentral:Y_RNA from 1 species